CACUCCUACGGGAGGCAGCAGUGGGGAAUCUUGCGCAAUGGGCGAAAGCCUGACGCAGCCAUGCCGCGUGAAUGAUGAAGGUCUUAGGAUUGUAAAAUUCUUUCACCGGGGACGAUAAUGACGGUACCCGGAGAAGAAGCCCCGGCUAACUUCGUGCCAGCAGCCGCGGUAAUACGAAGGGGGCUAGCGUUGCUCGGAAUUACUGGGCGUAAAGGGAGCGUAGGCGGACAUUUAAGUCAGGGGUGAAAUCCCGGGGCUCAACCUCGGAAUUGCCUUUGAUACUGGGUGUCUUGAGUAUGAGAGAGGUGUGUGGAACUCCGAGUGUAGAGGUGAAAUUCGUAGAUAUUCGGAAGAACACCAGUGGCGAAGGCGACACACUGGCUCAUUACUGACGCUGAGGCUCGAAAGCGUGGGGAGCAAACAGGAUUAGAAACCCUAGUAGUCCCA
rnacentral:rRNA from 1 species